GACGAACGCUGGCGGCGUGCCUAAUACAUGCAAGUUGAGCGAUGAAGAUUGGUGCUUGCACCCAUUUGAAGAGCAGCGAACGGGUGAGUAACGCGUGGGGAAUCUGCCUUUGAGCGGGGGACAACAUUUGGAAACGAAUGCUAAUACCGCAUAACAACUUUAAACAUAAGUUUUAAGUUUGAAAGAUGCAAUUGCAUCACUCAAAGAUGAUCCCGCGUUGUAUUAGCUAGUUGGUGAGGUAAAGGCUCACCAAGGCGAUGAUACAUAGCCGACCUGAGAGGGUGAUCGGCCACAGUGGGACUGAGACACGGCCCAAACUCCUACGGGAGGCAGCAGUAGGGAAUCUUCGGCAAUAGACGAAAGUCUGACCGAGCAACGCCGCGUGAGUGAAGAAGGUUUUCGGAUCGUAAAACUCUGUUGGUAGAGAAGAACGUUGGUGAGAGUGGAAAGCUCAUCAAGUGACGGUAACUACCCAGAAAGGGACGGCUAACUACGUG
rnacentral:rRNA from 1 species